GCUGCAUUUACAUUCAUACACUCACUGUCUCUCAUACACACAGACACAUAUGCAAGCUGUAUAAAUUACAAGUAGCAAAAUUAGUCUAUGCACGUGUGGUCUUGAUUAAAAGGGUGAGUGUAAAUCUGUGUAUUUGUGUGUAUUUGUAUGUGUGUGUGCUCGUACUGAACAUGAGAACCUCUGUGUCUAUUUGAGUGUGUGAACGUGUGCCUGCACCAGUGUAAUUGUGAACGUCUAUGAGCCUGCCUGUGUGUAUGUGUGUGUGUGUCUCUGUGUAUCUGAUUGUAGGUGAAAGUCUCAGUGAGUCCAUGCGUCAGUGUGACGGUGAGCGUGUAUGUACCGGUACAAGUGGUUUUUUCUGAACUUGCAAGCACAGUGGAAACUAUUGCUGAAUCAAGAGAAAAAAAACCACAGCACAACCCUGACUUCCUCUCUACGACAAAGAGAAAUAAGGAUGUAUGUAAACCGAGUGUCUGUCAUAGGACUGCAGAACGUAAUGCUGUGAGGGUGCUGGGUCGGGGAGGAGUUUUAAUCCAUCAGGAAAGACAUUUAGAGGUGGGGGAGACAACAGGAUUGAAAAGGUAGGGAAAAAGAAGGCAGGAGAACUUUCCAGGCAGUGGAGGCGACAAACAAGGUGGAGGCACCCUGAGGCCCUGCGGCAGCAAUGGGAAAGUAUUCUGCCUGCGCCAUGCUCAUCCUGGCCUUCCUGCAGACAGGCAGAAGCAACAACAGGAUCGCCAUCUUUCAAAAGCGAGGGCACAGCAUGCUGACUGUUUCCUGCGACCUUCUUGGGGAUGAAACUGUGUCCCAGAUCAACUGGGAGAGGAGGAGCGGCACCAACCUCACCACAUUAGGCAUCUUCAACCCAAAGCAUGGCACUUACAUUUCCCAGGAGCUCAAGGACAAGGUGAACAUAGACACCAAAGCCAACUCCCGCAGCACCUCUAUCAUCCUGAAGGAGGCAGACUUCAGCAAUGACACCUGGUUUUGCUGCACUUUCAUUGCCUUUCCUUCGGGGACAAUGAAGGGCUGUGCAGAAAUCACCAGUCUCACUACUGCAGCAGAAAAACACAGCUCUCCUGUACAGGCAGAAACUCUGCUACUGGUGGUCUUCAUAAUCCCGAUCGUCAUCCUUACAGCUAUGCUUUACCUCACCUGGCAACAUUUCCUCAACAGACGGCAAGUGUAUGAAGUAGAGAGGAUGAGCAUAACAGAGACACAGAUGGACACAGAGGAGCCUACAGGAGGGACGUCGCAGUCACUCUCCCAAGCAGAGCAAGCCCAGGCUGUGGAUCUCUCAAAAUUAUAUGCCCAGAUACAGAUCGACCGAUACUAUGAAAGGUUGUGGAAGGCAUACCAGGCUGCAAGGCAUGGUUGGUCGCCCCUGGCCCAGACUGCACCCCGCCAGAUCUACUACCUCCUAGGGGAGCACAGAGUGCCACAAAAAGAUGACGAAGAGCUCCUGCAAACCUGAAGUCACUCCCUUAGUUAACCGGGUUCAAGGGGGUCUGUUGGCAUGGGCUAUGGCAGACUUUGUGGACAGGUUUAAUAUAUAAGAAUUUUCUCUUCCAUUCACAUAAAAUGUAUAUGUUUUUAGAACUGCUGAGUCUAUAAAGAUAUGUAUAGAGAUACCUGGAUAAUAUUGCCUUUUUUGGUAUUCCAGAAAAAAAGACCUAACUGUACUAAACAUGUUUUUGUGUUCUCAUAACAGUUCAUAGAAAUAAUUGUAUUUAUUAUUUGUACUUCCUUGAAAAUGCAAAAAAUAAAGAAAUGAAGUCUAAUCCCA
ensembl:lncRNA